rnacentral:rRNA from 1 species
AACGAACGCUGGCGGCAUGCCUAACACAUGCAAGUCGAACGAGACCUUCGGGUCUAGUGGCUCACGGGUGCGUAACGCGUGGGAACCUGCCCUUAGGUUCGGAAUAACUCCCCGAAAGGGGUGCUAAUACCGGAUAAUGUCUUCGGACCAAAGAUUUAUCGCCUUUGGAUGGGCCCGCGUUGGAUUAGCUAGUUGGUAGGGUAAAAGCCUACCAAGGCGACGAUCCAUAGCUGGUCUGAGAGGAUGAUCAGCCACACUGGGACUGAGACACGGCCCAGACUCCUACGGGAGGCAGCAGUGGGGAAUAUUGGACAAUGGGCGAAAGCCUGAUCCAGCAAUGCCGCGUGAGUGAUGAAGGCCUUAGGGUUGUAAAGCUCUUUUACCCGGGAUGAUAAUGACAGUACCGGGAGAAUAAGCCCCGGCUAACUCCGUG